UAAUUCAUAAUUCUUUGCUCAAAAUAAGUAAACAUUACUAAGUCAAGAACGAUUUUAUUUCGGAGCGCAACCUUAUGCAUUACAGGGUAGGAAUUACCAACUUGUGCAUUUAUGUAUUGCGUUUCCCAGAACCUGGAAUGUAAAUACAUAAUAAACACAACGUGAAUAGCCUGCGGUGGUUGUGGGGCGGCUCCACCGGGAUCCAGCGGAAUGACUGACCCGGUCGCAGCUUUAGCACUCGGAGAAAGCAUUCAAAUGCUGUGAAACAAACGAGAACAUUCAAGGUCGACCAGGAGAACGAGAUCUUCCCCGCAGCAAGGUCUCACCACAUGCUCUACACCCCCCCGCCCCCCACGCAGCUCGCAUGUCCUCCUCUGCAGGCCCGCAGGGUGUUGCUUGUUAAACCAGAACGAAAGUGGAGGUCAGCGACCCCGCAUGUGGAUGGUAGUCUGUCACCUGGGAACCUCUGCGGACGCUUUUGCAGGUGAAUCCUGCCAGUUUUAUGGAUUACACCAGUACAACAGUGGGCAUUUUGUUUGGUCACCAGUGGUUUAUAAGGUUCCGUUUCCAUUUAGUUGAUGUUCUGUCCCGCGACUCUAAACGAAUUCAACAAUCUCGAGAUUGUAAUCAGCGUUAAUAUAACCUCAAAUGUGUCUGUCUGUUUGGAUUUAAUUUAUUGGCGGUGUGGUCUCUCCCAGGCCCGAUGCCAUGGAGGCGAACGGUGCUCCUUCCGUAAACAAGGUCCCUGUUCGUUAAUCAAAAGAACACUUGAUUAAAUUUCAACGUGGAGAACAUUGUCAUGGAAGAGAAGAAGACAGAUCAACAGGUUCAGACUGAUAUUUCGACUUGCCGGGACGAUUCCCGAUUCACCGAGAGACAGAAAUGGACGCUUCACCACGCAGCCACAUGAGCCACGUUCGCUUUGUCGCUUCUCUCGGGGACUUCCCAUCGAACGGAGCCCCCCGACCGAGAGCCGGCAUCCGCGCUGCUUCAGUGCCCCCGAGCCACGGCUCUCAGUACCUACGAGCAGACAUGCCAGAUGGAACGAGGCCCCAAAUUUUCUGCCCGGCAACCAUAUCCAGCUCUGUGAAAAAAACAGGCUUCUAGACCAACAGAACAAACACCAUUUCCAGGGCUCCAAUUUCACAAAAUGAUAUUCAUCAUUCAUUGGUAAUGGAGUCUUGUUACAGGUAAUUAUAUAGUAUAAUAUUCUGUAGUCCAAAUACAUAAAUGGCAAACUCAUAAAGGUGCUGCUCCGUCUCAGUUUACAGUUUUUUUUAUGGUUAUUUGGACCUGCGCUCUCCAUGCUGACCCCAUUUCAUAUCUCACCUCCAAACUUGAUGAAAUUCCCCUUUUCAGAAUGUAAAAUUGCAUUUAAAUUUGAAGUCACAAGAAAGUGAUGUUUAAUGUUCGUUGGUGUUUAAGUCGGAUGGUUGAUAUCCUCCAUCUAUCUCAUGUCAUAACUUCUGCUGGGUGUCUUCUGUGGGGGGAAACAUCACCCGACAUGUUGCAUUGUGGAGCCGCAGCCUCCAUUUGGGGUUCACUCUCCCUUCUGCUGAGAGCCGGAGCGCUUCUCCACUCCCUGUGUGCACAGACAGUGAUGAAGAGGUCUGUGGGUCUGAGGGGGGCCGGGGGCUCCAGCCACCUGAUGGAUGGGCAUUCCUCAGCCCCCCCCCUCCCCCUCUGAACCCCCACUCACCCUCUCCUUCUAGGUGAUGAACAAGCUCAUUACUAUGGCCCACUCAUAAAAGGAGGCCAUUAUCUCUUCACAGCGCACUUUGAACUCUGAGAAAGGAAUCCACCCCCCCGCCCGCCCCCCCCGUCUGGGGCUGGUGGUUACGUAAUGCGGUCAUGGCGCGCGGGUGGAAUAUGUGGCUCACGGCCAAGUGCAUCCCACGCUGGGAUCAGCUCCAAGAUGCCGCCGCGGCCGCGUUGGCCGGAUUCUAGCUCGCCGGCGACCCGAGACCGCCUGUGUCUCUAUCGGGCCUCCAGCAGCCUGUCGACUUCACUGGCGGCGAGGAGGAGACGUUUAGACGGGCAAACACAACUUCUUUAUGAAGGCAUGAAGUGCGUAACGCACGGAACCAAAGGAAGAAAACUUUAUCCUGAGUCCUGUGUCGAAAGUGUCAAUUCCCCAGUGGCGCUGAAGGAAAAGUCAGAGGGUCAAAGGUCAGUCAGUUACUUGUUAGUUAGGUCACUUCUAAUGUUUAGGACAAUAUUUAAAGAUGUAAAUGUGAAGUGACAACACGGCAGCAUAAACGGGUUUAUCUGGAUUUUCCACUCAGAGUUGAGUGAGUUACUCUAACUGACCGAUUUUGACACGAACGCCGCCCAAGACGACGGCCGUGGGACUAACUCCUCCACUUCCACUUUCAAUAGAAACAUUGAAAACACCUCGUGAAUCUGUAUCGAGGUCACGGCAACUUUUCGCUCCUCUUUCACACAAAAAACCCCCCCAAACGACCCAUAAACAAACCCCCAAACGUGCAGCGCCUUACACAUCCACACGCGUGCAUGGAGGGAAAAGACUCACACCUCUUUCCCCUGAAGGUUUGAGGAGCCCUGUUUGAAUUCACCUAUCACCAUGACAACUAGUCUCUCUUUACCGGCUGCACCCGUGGGAGGUUUUCGCCCAGCCUUUUCUAAUUUCACACUGUGUGGAUAUCUCCAUUCAGUAAUUACAAUCCCAUCCAUUCUCAUUUUCCCUGUCCAGACAAUGUGCCCUGAAUAUACACACACACACACACACACACACACACACAAAAACAUAUAUAUCUAUCUCACCUCUUCAGACGUACACAUCGCACGUACACACACAAGGAUGGACCGCCUGUGUUCAUGGACACACACAGGCGCCGUGGGAGUGUGUGUUUGGGGGAGGGUGUGCGAGGGAGAGAUAGAGGGGGAGAGACAGAUGUGAACUGUCACGACUCCGAAUUCACCGACGCACACAAUCACACAAAAGCACAUCGCUCUCAAAAUCCAAUUACAAGCCAACUCGCGGCCGCUGGAGUUGGGCUCGUUGUUGAAAAGUUUAAAUAAUUGCAAAGUAAUAGGAACUCAAAUCAACAAGAUUCGCCCUGCAAAUAAGCCCCGGCAGCGUAGAGACAGGGUGGAAAUACGCGAAUCCCCCCCGAGCGACGCUUCUCCUCCACGACCACGGCCUUCGCCGAGGAGCCGAUCGGCCCGGAGGCGUCGCUUGAGACGCGGCCCGUUGUUCCUCCGCUCUCCUUUCUCGUGCCGCUCGCCGUUUUAAUACACGUGAUGUGAUGCAUAUUGAUCAAGCAACUGAACCAAUAUGAAAACCUUUGUUGCUUAAUACCUGUUAGAUUCACACACCGAUGGCAAAUGAAAUGAAGACAUUACAUUAAGUCCAAUUUAAAGUUUAAACUUAAUGUAAUAAACUGGAGGCCGAGGGACCUUUGAUGGGAUCAGGACAGUAAACAGCGACCCGGCUUAACCGAUGUUUACCACACAACGCUUUUAGGUCAUUGCUGUGUCGGCCACAUCAGCCACCCGAGCCGAUAUCAACACAGAUAGCGUGCUGGCUGGUAGGAAGGAGGAGGAAGGUCGACGGGGGUCAUUACGGGGGGUUAAAGCCGUGGGAGUCGGUCAGAAAUCCAGCUAAUGUAGACGACAAAAUAAGAAAUGUAGAUGGAGACGGAUAGAUUUAAAAUGUCCUUUGAAGCAUAGUGUUUAACGGAGAGUAUAUAAAUGGGUGAUAUAUGAAGUCAAAAGACUAAACCAAAAACAGACAAUUAGUCACCAAAACUGCGUGUUCACUGAUCCUCGUCUGAAAUAAAACACAGCAACCUAAAGAAGCUAAGAGAAAGUAUGAUGGGCAAACAUCUGCACCACUAAAACAUGGCGUCCUCCGCUUUGUUCUAAUAUGACUGUUGUUCACUUCACUGAAAGCGCACGCGUUGUGAGAAAAGGGGCCUUAAUGCAGUUAUAACUUUCUGUGUCUGGUUAAAAGCACUCACGCCGGACCGAGUAAACACAUACGGAGGAAACGGGGAUUGUUCAUGAAACCUUCCCACACUGCGCAGCGCUUCCCGCCGCCAACGCUCCAAAUAUUUGGCCACCCACCCAAAAAAAACGCCGCUCCGAAGCCGCGCAAACAACGUGUCAUUUUCAUGCCUUUUGAUCACGGAGCUAUUCUGAGUGAACCUCCCGAGGUUUCUCACUCGGGGCGCGAGGUGCUCCGGCGAUGCGCUGCCGGAGUGAUAAGCUGAGCUCCCUCUUCUCUCCCUUUUCACUUUUAAGGAUUGAGAUUCUGAAAAAGAAUAAUAAAACAACUGUCAGCUAAUUGGCAAUGUGAGUGCUCCUAUGGAGGGAUAAAAAAAAAAAAAAUACAAUGAAAGAAACUACAAAGUGACUCCACAAGGGAGAAGCUACGGUGCAAGCGCACACACACACACACACACACACACACACACACACACACUCAGGUUUUAAGGGCAUUCCCUCGUCGCCUACUUUUAUGCUCCCAUUGUUCAGUUUUUCCCUCUUCUUUUCUUUUCCUGCACACGAGAUACUUCGUUCCCCAGCAAGGCUCCGUCUGAAGAAGUUUACUUGAAGCGACCUCCUCCACCCAGACUGGAGCACUUUGUUUUAAAAGUCACGAGAGCUCAGCGGAGGUGUGACUGCACAGACCCCCCCGGUUAGGAAACCCUCCACUGAAUCAUCAGGAGACCCGUCAGACUGAAAUCCGGCCCAAGAGCGAGUAAAUAAAAAUGGCGGCAACAUAAUGCUGAAGACUGAUUGCUUCCAAAAUAAAUGGUCGAGAUUUUGGCAACGAACCGAAUUCCGCAACGAAUAUCAGCAGAAACACAGCAUCUGGGAUCUCAAUGCUGGCUCGCCGUUCAUGUGAUGCUUUUGAAAUCAAAUCAAGCCCCGCGAACAACAAGCAGGCGCGCUGCAGCUCCUCGGAUGUGACGGUCGCUCCGGGUCACCGGAGGCCGGCUCUCCACCAACAAUCCUCUAUUUUCAGUGCCUCGACUCGAUGCUGGAAGCUUGAAACAAUGAGCUUAAUACUUAAAGGUCGGCCUUAUCUUAUGGACUAAUCGAUUGCGAUGGAAAAUAUGUGCGACAACUAAGCUCCAUGUAAUUUCCUGCAGCAUAAAAGAAGUGUUGGUUUAUAUCUGAUUAUCGUUAUUACACCUGCAGUCACAGCUCUACAGGCGCACACAGGCAGGCCUGCUCAUUCGUGCACAAACCGCACAAACAAACAAAUCACUCACACGUCGACGGUGCAGAAAAAGAGGAAGCCCGUCGACAUUGUUCCUUGCACGGAUCAAACGACACAAGCCGCCGCAUGGCGGAGGACACGCAUUCGGUCUCUUCCGCCCUGCUAAUAAUAUGCUAUCAUUGGGCCCGAGCACAAAUGCACCGCUCACGGCCAUAAUCUUGUUGUCAGCUGUCUCGCUCCGUGGAUGACGUGCAGACACUCAAAGCCAUUUGGCAUGUAGGGCUGAGAUCCCACAGCCCCGGCUUAAUUGGAUUUUGAAAUGUGGUGUGCGUGUGUGUGUGUGUGUGUGUGUGUGUGUGUGUGUGUGUGUGCGUGCGUGUGUGCGUUCACGUGCAUUGGUAGUUCAGCACAUCUGAGUGUUUUCAUACGUAUGCAUGUGCUCUCACAUCAAAUAAAACAUUUUGCCGUCAGGUGGAACCCUCAUGAAUCACAUCUUUCUAGGAGAGGAGGGGGGGAAAAAAAAGCCUUGAUCGAAAAACAGCUCGUGUUUUGAGUUGAACCUUUUGCUUUCAGAGGGGGUUCGUCAGCUGGGGAAUUUGUUUCUUCUCAGCCUGCUGGAUGAGCCGCUAAGUGCGUAAGUUUAUUUAGUGCGUAUGUCUGCUCUCUCAUCUGCUGGACUUGUUGUUUUAUGACUCAAUGCUCAAAGUAUCUCUCGUGGUUUCCCUGAUUUACACUUUUUGUAAAAAGCGUUGGAUGUCGACGUCUCUGCAUUGAGGGAACGUUAUUUUUAUGCGAUUGCUUAUUACAUUACAUGUGAAUUAGCUGGCUUUACAUUACACCCAGGGAGCAAUUAAGUGUCUUGCUCAGCUGGGAUUUGAACCACCAACCUUGUGGUUCCCAGCGCACCCUGUCUACUCCAUGCGGCACCGUCUCCCAUGACAGAGAGUAAUGGAACAAGAGCAGAAAAUCAAACGGGUUGUCCAAUAUCUGCAGGGCAAAAAGAAGGCCGACUGGUUAAUAAUUGCUCAAAGUGUUUGUUAAACAUCCAUAAGAGUUUACCCAUGAGAGCUGUCUUAAAACACACAGACGCUAAAUCUGGUUCAUCGUUAUUUCAUGCACCACUAAGCAAUGACGUUCUGAUGUUGCCAAACUUUUGGAUAUUAGCAAUUCAUUUGGUAAAUCAUAUAUAAAAUAAAUUGUAAAGAUGAUGUGAAAAACACAAACUGAAACCAGAAAUGCGCUUUGUAAUGGAAAAAUAUCAGCAAAUGUUCUUGAUUUGACAAAUGUUUGACAAUAUCAAAUGUUUCAGUCAUUAAUACAUAAGUGAUGUGUGUUAAUAAACACAUGUUAAUGCAAUUGCCUAACUCUUUGCACAUGAAAUGAAGGGAUCUCGUCUUAAAAUAGAAAUAGAACCUUCUUCUGGUUUGGUGCUGUGAUGCAAAAGUGCACCGAUUGGAAUAAAGUUGUCGCUGAUUUAA